rnacentral:sRNA from 1 species
GGAUGUGAAGAUGGCUGGCUGUGACAUCUAUUGCUAUUGUGCCCUGAUGGCCAGGGCUGGAUUCAUUGAUCUGUAUGCUAUAGUGGAGGCUUCUCUUUCCCUACGCCGUCUAUGUCCCUCCUAAAACUGUGUCCUCCUCAUGCAGGAGUGCACUUAGCCAAAGGAGAUGACUUUCCCUGAUAGAGGAGGACUGGUCUUCAGUCAUAUGUAAGUAGCUAGAACUUCAAGAAACAAAGAAGGGAAAGAAACGAAGGCUAAAUAUGAAUGUGGAGUUUAGUUAU